rnacentral:tRNA from 1 species
GCCAGCAUGGUGUAGUGGUUUGAGCAUUGGACUAGGACUCUGGAGCCCAGGGUUCAAAUCCCUGCUUGGCC